AACAACGCAUUUCACAGCCUUUUCUAAUCAUCAUUGAUACUUUUACUUCUACGAGAUUUGAGAACAUAUGAAAAAAUAUUUUUACGUUAUUCAGUCAUGUUUCUUAUUGUGAUUACAAAUGCGAGUACAAACGCGGAAUAAUCUUCCAUCCGCGUUAAACCCAACCCACACCCCUGUUACUAAUACCCACACAAAAACUACUGUUUUAUUGUUUAUUAUUAUAUACUUGGUAUGUCUUGUCAUUCUGUUUCCCAAAGGUCCAGAGAAAAAGGAAGUUUGUAAAAGAUAAGAAGGAUCUAAUGAAGAGGCACAAAGGCUGGGAGCCCAGACUUUAGAACAUGGUGUACACUAGCCAAGUUCAGAAAUCCUGGAACAGGAUGGUGGCUGCAAUCCUUAUUCACAACUAAUUGAUUAUUGGCUAAACAAAACCAAACAGGAAGAAUCCAGCUCCAGCACCGAGUGCUACAGCAAUACAUAUCCACACAUUGUAUGUCAUGAAGAUAAGCAUCAAAAAGUA